GAUGAACGCUGGCGGCGUGCUUAACACAUGCAAGUCGAACGAUGAAGCUCAGCUUGCUGGGUGGAUUAGUUGCGAACGGGUGAGUAACACGUGAGUAACUUGCCCUUAACUCUGGGAUAAGCCUGGGAAACUAGGUCUAAUACCGGAUAGGAGCUUCCACCGCAUGGUGGGUGUUGGAAAGAUUUAUCGGUUUUGGAUGGACUCGCGGCCUAUCAGCUUGUUGGUGAGGUAAUGGCUAACCAAGGCGACGACGGGUAGCCGGCCUGGGAGGGUGACCGGCCACACUGGGACUGAGACACGGCCCAGACUCCUACGGGAGGCAGCAGUGGGGAAUAUUGCACAAUGGGCGAAAGCCUGAUGCAGAGACGCCGCGUGAGGGAUGACGGCCUUCGGGUUGUAAACCUCUUUCAGUAGGGAAGAAGCGAAAGUGACGGUACCUGCAGAAGAAGCACCGGCUAACUACGUG
rnacentral:rRNA from 1 species